GUGCUCACUGUUUUAGCUGAACUAUGAGUAGAUUUUGUAGGCUGAAUCAAAUUGAUUUGCUCGACAAAUUAUUGAACUUCAACUGGUCCAAAGUCUUCAGUUAACUGAUUUUACUGAUCGGUUUGCCAGUUAACUGAUUAUGUUGCCGCUCUAGGAACGUGCCAUAUUCACUCAACCUAGAAAACAAGAAAUUGUGCUUUCG
rnacentral:misc_RNA from 1 species